rnacentral:rRNA from 1 species
GGUUAAGUGAAUAAGGGCGCACGGUGGAUGCCUUGGCACUAGGAGCCGAUGAAGGACGGGACUAACACCGAUAUGCUUUGGGGAGCUGUAAGUAAGCUAUGAUCCAGAGAUUUCCGAAUGGGGGAACCCAAUAUCUUUUAUAGGAUAUUACUUUUCAGUGAAUACAUAGCUGAUUAGAGGUAGACGCAGAGAACUGAAACAUCUUAGUACCUGCAGGAAGAGAAAGAAAAUUCGAUUCCCUGAGUAGCGGCGAGCGAAACGGGAAGAGCCCAAACCAACAAGCUUGCUUGUUGGGGUUGUAGGACUCCAAUAUGGUAGUCUGUUAGUAUAGUUGAAGGAUUUGGAAAAUUCCGCUAAAGAGGGUGAAAGCCCCGUAGACGAAAUGCUGACAACACCUAGGAGGAUCCUGAGUACGGCGGAACACGAGAAAUUCCGUCGGAAUCCGCGGGGACCAUCCCGCAAGGCUAAAUACUCCCUAGUGACCGAUAGUGAACCAGUACCGUGAGGGAAAGGUGAAAAGCACCCCGGAAGGGGAGUGAAAUAGAUCCUGAAACCGUGUGCCUACAACAAGUCAAAGCUCGUUAAUGAGUGAUGGCGUGCCUUUUGUAGAAUGAACCGGCGAGUUACGAUUGCAUGCGAGGUUAAGUCGAAGAGACGGAGCCGCAGCGAAAGCGAGUCUGAAUAGGGCGAAU